CCCUAGCGAUGAGCUUGCACCUCAACGUGGUGCUGGGGUCCAGUAGUCCCAGUGGAUGAAGCUAAGACAAGC
rnacentral:ribozyme from 1 species